UACCAGCACCCCGAGUGGUCGGGACGAUUAUUGGGCCUAAAGCAUCCGUAGCCGGUCCUACAAGUCUUCCGUUAAAUCCACCUGCUCAACAGAUGGGCUGCGGAAGAUACUAUAGGGCUAGGAGGCGGGAGAGGCAAGCGGUACUCAGUGGGUAGGGGUAAAAUCCUCUGAUCCAUUGAAGACCACCAGUGGCGAAGGCGGCUUGCCAGAACGCGCUCGACGGUGAGGGACGAAAGCUGGGGGAGCAAACCGG
rnacentral:rRNA from 1 species